CACACCAGAAUUACCUGGGGAGAUCAUUAAAACUACAGAUUCUUGGGCCCCGCCCCCGGAGAAUGUGAAUCAGUAAGUAAAUCUGGGGUAGGGCCUGGGAGUUUGUGUUUUUGUACAAAUAAGCCAGGUGACCCUGAUGCUA
rnacentral:miRNA from 1 species